AAUAAAGUCCUUGGACCACGUCACAGCUGGACGUCCCACCAAGCUUACUUUUGUAAGAUCACUGCUGAACACUGACUUGGAAAGUGUGUGAAGAACAGAGGAGAAAGGGAAGAAGAGAGGAGUAAAGAUGGAUGUGACAGCUGGCACUAGAUACUCCAGGCCUUUCCAUGCCAUUACCUGUGUGAAAUGAUGCACCACUGUGAAGACUGCUGAGAACAGAUGAUGGAAUAAGUCAGCUGACUUGACUCUUCAUCUAUAAACCUCCCAUUGUCCCAUCUACUAAGAAACUAGCAGCAAAACCACAACUUUUUCUGGCACAUCAAGACAGCAGCUUGUUAAUUUGCUGGCUGGAGCCUUGUGCAUCCUCCACUGUUGGCUCUGGCUCCAUUUCGAGAAACUGAGGAACAGGGAUGAAACAGAGGCCACACAAGUAACAGUCAUCAGAAGAAGACUCAGACGCAGGCAGUUUGGCUGCAGAGAACCCCAGCUGCCUUUUUGGCUGUGCUGUGCUCUGUGGAGGAUGUACCUGGCAUCAGAAGUGGGUCGAGGAUGUGGUGUACACAGUCAUGAGUUAGAGGCAAUGGAGUUGGACUUUCUGAGGUUGCACUGAGACUUGUCCCUUGGCGCUUGCUCUGCAAGGAUGGUAGUUUCAAGUGGUCACAUAGGACCCACUGUGCUAGGGACCCCUAGAGCCAACACUGGGACAACCAGCUUCUCGUUAGAAAAUCGUGUAUGCGUAGGACUGGAUGCUCCAAUGGCAGUGAUGGAGUAGUGGCCCACAUAUGAGUCUAUGCACUGGGAGGUGCUCAGCAGCAUGGGGGAUCUGGGCUGAGGCUUGGUUGGCUGCAUCAGGGCUGAGAAGAUGGUUGCUGGCAGACAUUCUUUGGAGUUGGCUGUGUGAUGAUUGGUCCUGUAGCCUUGACUCCAGUCUGGUUUGUUCCAAGGGGAAAGUUUUCUAAAAUCUCUACAUCUCUGUCUCCGAAUUCGAUGUCCAAGGAAUUUAUCUGGGUAGAUCAUAUUGGUAUGCAUUUCCUUUUCUUCUCCCUCCACGUGCACAAAAUUUACUAGCUCGGUGGACAUCCUGGUUUAAGCAAGAAUAUCAGAACUUGUAAGUUUUGCCCAUGCUUGAUUCCUGGCAUGACUUAGUGACCGUGUGAUGUAAUCACAUGGUGUGUUGAUGACAAUCAGACUGUUGCCUAGAAUCGAGGAAGUGUGCUUUUAACCAGCUUUGCACAAUCAGACUGUUGCCUAGAAUCGAGGAAGUGUGCUUUUAACCAGCUUUGCACAAUAAAUAUGGUAGAACUGUUAUUUCUUCACCUCUUUCUUUUUCCCAUUCCUAUUCCAAGUAGGCAAUCAGGCUUUGGUAAAAUUGGUGAAAGUUACAUUACCGUCCUAAGACAUUUUAAUUACAGGAAAAACCUUGGUUUGCAAGCAUAAUUUGUUCAGAUACAUGUUUGUAAUCCAAAGCACUUGUAUA